GACGAACGCUGGCGGCGUGCUUAACACAUGCAAGUCGAACGGAAAGGCCCUGCUUUUGUUGGUUUCUCGAGUGGCGAACGGGUGAGUAACACGUGAGUAACCUGCCCUUGACUUUGGGAUAACUUCAGGAAACUGGGGCUAAUACCGGAUAUGAGCUCCUGCUGCAUGGUGGGGGUUGGAAGUUUCGGCGGUUGGGGAUGGACUCGCGGCUUAUCAGCUUGUUGGUGGGGUAGUGGCUUACCAAGGCUUUGACGGGUAGCCGGCCUGAGAGGGUGACCGGCCACAUUGGGACUGAGAUACGGCCCAGACUCCUACGGGAGGCAGCAGUGGGGAAUAUUGCACAAUGGGCGGAAGCCUGAUGCAGCAACGCCGCGUGCGGGAUGACGGCCUUCGGGUUGUAAACCGAUUUCGCCUGUGACGAAGCGUGAGUGACGGUAAUGGGUAAAGAAGCACCGGCUAACUACGUG
rnacentral:rRNA from 1 species